rnacentral:rRNA from 1 species
UACAGAGGGUGCAAGCGUUAAUCGGAAUUACUGGGCGUAAAGGGUGUGUAGGUGGCAAAGUAAGUUAGGUGUGAAAUCCUCGGGCUUAACCUGAGAAUUGCGCUUAAUACUGCCUUGCUAGAGUACUAUAGAGGGCAGUGGAAUUUCCAGUGUAGCGGUGAAAUGCGUAGAUAUUGGAAGGAACACCAGUGGCGAAGGCGACUGCCUGGAUAGAUACUGACACUGAGACACGAAAGCGUGGGUAGCAAACAGG